UAUUUUUUUAUUGGAAAAGUUCAUGGAAUUUGAUUGAGGUUCUUGUAGUGGACUAGUAUAUGUAUUACCAGUGGACUAGUAUAUAUAUUGCUUUAGCAAGUCCCAAGCAGAAAGAGAUGAAGAUUGUUUUUUGUCUGUCAAGCUUCAUGUAUCCUUCUCAGGCUGUUUCCUUAUCCUUUUUAUUACUGGAAUAGUAGACAGCCUCAGUUUGGAAAGUAAAGUGGAUUUUAGCAAUCCACAAUACACAGUGGUAGUAGAAAUCAUUAAAGCUGUCUGUUGCCCGACUGUUUGGAAGAUUAUUUGUUGUUCAGAAAAUAUAAUCUCCAGGAGAUGGUGAAGAGUGACAGGGACCCGGCACAGCUUAAUCUAAAGCAGGUAGCACAAGCAGGAAAUGGGAAGAAGCUAAAUUGGAAUCUGGUGACAAAUCAAAUCACAAUGCCCAGCAGAGGGAACAAAUAACCAGCAGGUGGUACCAGAGAAUAGUGAAGAGCUGGAGCAGACAAAACCAAUAUCUGAGACUCAGGUAGUGAAUGAGGGAGGAGCUAAGCCUGAACUUGCAAGUCAAGUCAGAGAAGGAUCUGAGUCAAAUGAAAAUGACCUCUCAUAUGAAAAAAAAUCACUUGGUGUUGGAGACAGAUCUGACGGUCCAGUGCUAUAGUUUUUGAAGGCAAGGUGUGAGAUAGAAGACGACUAUUCUAGGCAUAGAACUACAGGCAUUUCCUAUAAGACUGGAAUCAAGAGGAAUCAUGAGGGAUGCAGGAUGCAGACACCAAUGCAGGCAGAACCAGACAUGCAGAACACUCCACAGAGACAUAGGGAGCAUGUUGUG